rnacentral:rRNA from 1 species
GACGAACGCUGGCGGCGUGCCUAAUACAUGCAAGUCGAGCGCAGGAAACUGACGGAACUCUUCGGAGGGAAGGCAGUGGAAUGAGCGGCGGACGGGUGAGUAACACGUAAGGAACCUGCCUCAAGGAUUGGGAUAACUCCGAGAAAUCGGAGCUAAUACCGGAUAGUUCAACGGACCGCAUGGUCCGCUGAUGAAAGGCGCUCCGGCGUCACCUUGAGAUGGCCUUGUGGUGCAUUAGCUAGUUGGUGGGGUAACGGCCCACCAAGGCGACGAUGCAUAGCCGACCUGAGAGGGUGAUCGGCCACACUGGGACUGAGACACGGCCCAGACUCCUACGGGAGGCAGCAGUAGGGAAUCUUCCACAAUGGACGAAAGUCUGAUGGAGCAACGCCGCGUGAGUGAUGAAGGUUUUCGGAUCGUAAAACUCUGUUGUAAGGGAAGAACACGUACGAGAGGAAAUGCUCGUACCUUGACGGUACCUUACGAGAAAGCCACGGCUAACUACGUGCCAGCCGCCGCAGUAA